CCUACGGGUGGCAGCAGUGAGGAAUAUUGGUCAAUGGGCGCAAGCCUGAACCAGCCAUGCCGCGUGAAGGAAGAAGGCUCUAUGGGUUGUAAACAGCUUUUGUACGGGGGUAAACGUCGAUACGUGUAUCUUUCUGAAUGUACCGUACGAAUAAGGAUCGGCUAACUCCGUGCCAGCAGCCGCGGUAAUACGGAGGAUUCGAGCGUUAUCCGGAUUUAUUGGGUUUAAAGGGUGCGUAGGCGGUCGGUUAAGUCAGAGGUGAAAUCCCGGGGCUUAACUUGAGAAUUGCCUCUGAUACUGGUCGGCUAGAGAGUAGUAGAGGUAGGCAGAAUGCAUGGUGUAGCGGUGAAAUGCUUAGAGAUCAGGCAGAACACCGAUUGCGAAGGCAGCCUACCAGGCUACGACUGACGCUGAGGCACGAAAGCGUGGGGAGCAAACAGGAUUAGAUACCCGGGUAGUC
rnacentral:rRNA from 1 species